UACGAAGGGGGCUAGCGUUGCUCGGAAUCACUGGGCGUAAAGGGUGCGUAGGCGGGUCUUUUAAGUCAGGGGUGAAAUCCUGGAGCUCAACUCCAGAACUGCCUUUGAUACUGAGGAUCUUGAGUUCGGGAGAGGUGAGUGGAACUGCGAGUGUAGAGGUGAAAUUCGUAGAUAUUCGCAAGAGCACCAGUGGCGAAGGCGGCUCACUGGCCCGAUACUGACGCUGAGGCACGAAAGCGUGGGGAGCAAACAGG
rnacentral:rRNA from 1 species